AGAAUUUGCUCUAUCAGAAACCCAGCCCAGAUGGAAUCUUCAGUCCCUACCCUUUAACCCUGACAUGUUCAGAAAGAGAAUGUGGACCACUGUCUCCUGCUGCUGCCUUUUUGUCCAUGACCUUUCCUUGUAGGGAGCAAAACAACCCCAAAAGCUUUGUCCAUUCACUGCCUUUAGGGUGCUCACAGCCCCAGCGUUCCAAAUAAAAGCACAAAGUUAAUGUCAAUUUAAGGAACAGCACCUCUCCAGCUUGGAUAUUUUCUGCAGCAUGUGGCUCUGGAUAUUCCCAGUUCAGCUCGAUUAUUGUUCUUCCAGAUCGAUGGAACUUUGCGAGGAGUCACAAUGAAAGAAGUGUGAGUAAUAGAAAAAUAUUUUAAAAGCUUGGAGUAAACCCACAGAUCUCGAGAUUGUGUUUUAGAUUGUAGGGGUGCUGCUGAUUUCCUUGAAAGUUGUGAGAUAAAGUUCCACAGCUCUUGAUUAGUCCCUGUGGUUAAUUGUUUCAUCCCUGGGUCACAGGCUGCUGCUUCAGCCACCUAUCCAGGAAUGAGUUUAAAAACAAACAAAAUGCUUUUGUUGCCUUAAGCCUCUAAGAGGAUGAGGGUAGAUGUCACUGUUUGAGGUUGUAGCCUUGUAUUUCUUGACAAAAGUGGCUUGAAGUAGCAGCAAAUUAUCUUCCGGACAUCGUUUCUUUGUUUCCAUAAUUAACUUCUACUGAAACUGCUCUGUUAAUUACGUCCUCACAGGGAUUUAAAGUGUUGCAAAUGAGAGUUAGGUAGGGGAGUAUUAUGGAUUUAAGUAGGCAAAGAGAAGGGGGAAAAAAGAGUUUCCCUGAGGUGUGACACUGGAUCUUGCUCUUUAGAAACAGAUGUAGAAAUCCAGCAGUCUGCUGGGACUCCAAAGAGCACCUCAGAGUUGAAAACUCUUUAAAAAAAUCUCUAACUAAAUGCAGCUGCUUUACGCACAGCGAUUGUCUCGCAAGCCAGAAACAUGUAGAAAGUUAACUCAGACAAAAGAAAAAGUGUAAACCUUUCCUUCCCCGGGCCCUGAAAACCAAAACCCUCUCAAGUCAUCCUCAAGUGCAAAUUCGCUGUUGUUGUGUGAAAUGUUGUGUCUCAAGGACCAGCAGCCAGGAAUCGCUGCUCUGAGGUGCUGUCCCCUCGGGUGGGCAUCCCGGUGAUGGGCGCUGUGGAAAUGGCACAUCUGGCACAGCUGGAGAGUCUCACAGCCGGCCGGGCAGAGGCGGAGCUGUGACACUCUUCACCCAGCCUGCAUUUUGACACGCUCCUCCAUACCGAGGUAUUUAAACGAGCAGCAAAUCCAGUUAUUUUACCGUCUAGAUGCUCUCUUUGAUCCAGGUUGCUGCUUUUAAAAAUUAGCAAACCCCGUGCUGUGUCUUGAAAUCAGCUCCCUAAAGAAAUUCUGGGUUUGCCUCAGCCCCAAACAGUUGAAUAAUGAAGUGACUUUGUAGGGUGUUUCUUGUUUCUUUUUCAUUGUAAUCAAGAAGAUGUUGAAAGUUAAUGAAUCUGCACAUUUAUAAAUGGUACAGCAGUGAAAUGAAUAAAUGAGAGCAGUUGUCAAUGGUUCUUUGUAAAUAACAAAAUAUUGGUGUUAGCUGAAGGAUGCUUCUGUGGGAGUGGCGAUUGCAGUUUUACAUCCUUUAUGAUGAAGUGCUUUAAAAUUCCUAAAAUUCUACAUUUGGUGUAAAGUUUCUUUCAGUCAGGUGCUACAGAGGAGGUUAAAUUUUUUUUUAAAGUUACAAUUUUUUUUUCUGUCUGUUUAUAAACAGAGUCACUGCUGUCCUUGCCAGGAGUGUGGCGUGUGAGAGGCUUGGACAUGUUUAAUGUCAUUUAAUUGGGCUGGAACGACAGCAUAGCUGGGGGUGCUACACUGUGAAGUUUGCUAAGGUGGCAAAAUGGAAUAAUUUCAGCUAUAUAUAUAUCACUAGUGUGUGAUGUGAUGAUAAAGCUCUAAAUAUUACUAUUAUUUAAUAGUAAAGGUCUUUGAAGUCUGCCAGGGAGUAUAAUGUAAAAUAAAAGAACUUGCCUAUAUUUGGACUCGAAUGCAAUGCAAUAUUGAAAAUGGUGCUCUGCCAAAGUCAGGCAGCUUGGGGAAAAGAAGUAGCUUGAGAAAGGAACCCUUCAGUGAGGAAAGCAAUAACCUCAGGCUGCUUCCAUGCCAGCAUCCCGGCGUGAGGAAGAUUGCUUUCCAGGAUCUCCUCCUGAAGUGGAGACACUGGAGUGCCACUGUUUCCAAGUAAAUCUGCAGGGCAGCAGAUGAAAGGAAGUGCUUGUGGAAAGAAUCCCAUGGUUUGUGUUGGUGGGAUAGACACAGAUUUGGAGGAUGAUUGUCAGGUAGGAUUCCUGAAAAAAUGGUGCAGAGUGGGUCACCAAGAGGAGCAGAGGGCACAGCAGUGCCAUGGAGGAGGGACUGACAGGGAUAAAUGGGCUGUGUGUGCAGAGCUGCCCUUUCUCUGCUGGUUCCCAACCAGUCACUCUGUGGAGCUUCUGCCCGGGGCAGGAGCAGGACAAAGCUCAGGCCGAGGCUGCUUUGCUGCUUCACCGAGUUCCGUGGGCUUUUUGGGCUUGGUGUCUGCUCUGACAAACCCCUCUGGAGAGCUGUGUGCAGUCUGGGUGGUCAGAGAGGGUGAAGGACAGCACAGGAUGGUCCUGCAGGGCAUGUCCUGGAUCAUGGUGGUGGUGAGGGCUGGCUGCUGUGUCCUGUUGGCUGGAGUGUGCCAAUUUGGGGGUGCUGGUCCAGGCUUGGCUUAACCCUCCUGGACCCUGCUGAGAUUUUCUGAUCUCUUUGCUCUUGUUACUCUGGGAAAUGGCUGAGGCUGAGUCAGUGAAGGUUUAGGCUGGGUAUCAGGAGAAAAGUUCUUCCCCCAGAGGGAAUUUAGGCACUACACAGGCUCCUCAGGGAAUGGGCACGGCCCCACGGCUGCCAGAGCUCCAGGAGCAUUUGGACAGCAUCUCACAGACAGGGUGGGGUUGCUGGGGUGUCUGUGCAGGGCCAGCAGUUGGACUGAAUGAUCCUUUGGGGUCCCUUCCAGCAGGAUUCUGUGAUUCUAUGAUGCCACAUUGGAGACAGGAAUCCUGGGUGUAUUUAUCAUGCCCUGGGAAUGUUGAAGGCAGAAAUAAUCUAUCUGCUUUUUGUGUCAGGGAAAACUAAAACAAAUAACAAAUAAGGCAAGUCCCUGUGUGUACAGGCAGCCACUGUCCCCAAGAGCUGGAGCAGAAGUGCUGAGAACUUUGUGCAGAUGUUCCAUGGUCUCUAUAACCCUGCUGAUGCUCUGGGCUGUGCAGAGAUGUGCAUUCACUCACUCCCAGAUAUUUGGGACUAGCUUUAAGUUAGGGCUUUGCCAUCCAAAUACGCACUGGGAAAGUUUCAUAACUGGAACAUGCUGAGUGGAGAGAGAACCACGUUGAGCUCAGCUUUCAGUGAGUUUCACCUACAGUGACAAGAGGUCAUUUAAUUCCCAGCUGAUUGUCAGGAAGAUGGAUUUAUAUCAUUAAAUGCUUUCAGGAGGCCGAGGAAGAGCUCCUGGUGGACCUUUGCUUCUGCCUGCUGGCAUCUCUGGGGCUGAAACACUUCAUGCUCACCAGAGGAUGUUUCUGAACUGAGGGCCCCUGACUUUUACAUUCACUUUUCUUGGCAGCCUGACAGAGCCCAAGUCUGGCAACCUUUGUAAGUGAGAUGCAACAAGCCUCACUUAUUUCAGCUAUUGCUCUGUCACUGUGUUUUUAAUUUACUGUAAUUCAAUAACUGACACAAUGCUGGAGUAAAUAAAUGGGCUGUGAACAUUCUCAUAGACCUUGGGCAUCCAGCUCAGGGCAAGAUUUAGCUUUUAAUUAACACUGUCCAUGAGAUUUAUUGUUAAAAUUGCAUCCUUUUAAAUAAGUCAAUCUGAAGUUGAUUAAGAGAUGAAUAAUUGAAACCUGCUGUGGGGUAACAGAAUGCAUUCUAGUGGAUGCAGCAGUGGAGCACCAUUGGAGCUCCACAUCCCUUUUCUCCUGAGUUUUGGGUCUUUCCCAUAAGCUGGACGUUGUCAUUAACUUUUCUGUGCAGGAUUUGUUGCUCUGUGUUGAAAAAAAAUAUGUGUUCUUCAAUAUUAAGAACAACAGCAUUUUACCUGUGUAUAAACUGCAUUCUUAGUACAGCAAAGAGCUUUAGGAAGGCCUUGAGACACCUUGGUAAAAACCCUUAAAGGGUUUUUGCUCCUUUCACUCCACUCUGCUACACAAAUUCCCAAAAAGAGGCCCAGGCAAGGGAAGGUGCUGUAAAGGCAUCCUCUCACUGGAGGGGAAUCUUAUUAGCAAAAUUAUAUUUCAUCAGGGAUUAAAAGAAAAUACUGACCUGAUUUUCUUGUGUUCUAUAGGGAGAGAUGGUAUCUGAUUUGCCCUUUUGCUUUUGAGAGCCUGUUUGUAGGAUGUGAUUUAUGUUCUUGCAUUCUGUUUGUGAUUGAUCUUUUUUAAAUCCUAAUGAGUAUUUCUGACCCCUGAACAGCAGUAAAAUGUUCACAAACUUGAGAGUAUUUUAUAUGCAGCACUUAGACAAUUUUCUCUUAAAAUCUGUUGUCUCUUUUCCCAGCAGCAAAUAUGGUCUUGAUAUGAGGAGCUGUGUGAGCAGCCCCUCUCAUUUCAGGCUGAAAAACCUCCAGGGAAUGUCAAUAUCAAUAUUUGUUGGUUGAGCUGUUCAGGGUGAGACAAAUUAGGUUGGGCAUUGAGUGAACUGGACCAUUCCUUCCUUCCUGAACUGGUUUCACUGGGGAGUCACAUUUGGCACUGAUCACACUUGUGGCUCUGCUUUCAGCAUUUCUGUAGGUCCUGAUGGCUCUGGGGAAGUUCUUUGAUCUGUCUUGAAAACUUCAAAAGUUGAGAGUUGGUACUGGGGGAAGGAGAAAAAGGUGGUCUUGGUGUCGAUAGCAGGUACAGUGAAUUUUCAGGGAAUUCAUGCAAUAAGAAGGAGAGACCACCUGCAAACUGACAGCUUUUCCUUGCCAUGAGGCCUUUGGUAAUAAUAUCUCAUGGUGGAAGUGACUGCUGUAAGCAGGACACCUUUACAAGUAUUUUUGGGAAUCUGAACAUUUAAGGUUGCUCUCUUAAGUUUAUGGGCUGUGUUUAGUUCCCUCAUCCAAGAGAGAAGUCUCGAUCCUGUUCAGUUCUCUCAUCCAAGGGCAUUCUGAAGGCUCUGGGCUUGGAGCUCUGAAGCACUGGGUGAAUUUUUUGGUAUCUUAUAUGUAUUGUGGAGUACCUCUGGUACAUCCAACUUUAAAAAUCCAUGGUUAGCUCUAAGAGCAAUCCCCUUUUCUGGGAAGUUUUGACAGAAUGCAGCAGCAAAGUCUUAACUGGAGUUUUCUCUGUCAGUAAAUGAGUGAAGCUGUGGCCUCAGGCGUCACAGCCCAUCCAGCAGGGUCACAGCAGGGACAGUAGUGCUGGCACUGCCUCUGCUUUGGGAAAAUCAGAGUUCAGGCUCCUGCACAGGUCUGUACAUCAGGUGUUGUUUAUUUUGCUGACAGCUCUACAGAAAUCCCCUACCCAAACCUGUAAUUGUCGGAUGUUCUGUUAUCCUAUUCCUGCUGCCAGUUAUUAUCUGCUGAGAUUAUCAAGGGUAACUUCACCUGGACUAAUUGUAAUAACUGACAAAGCCUGAGGGCAAGAAUUCUGUCUCAGCAGUGCAAGGAGGGAUUAGGUGUGUGUAUAUGCCAUGUAAUUUGCUGAGAGGUGUCUAUGUACAGAUCUGUCAGGAGAACUGUAAAAUCGUUUGAAAUGUUGCAAGGGAUGGAUGUGUGGUGAUAGGAGGCUCAACUUUCUUCAGCCUUUGUUGCAUUAUCCCACUGAAGUGAAUUUCAUAGGCUUUUUUCUGCCCUUCCUGUAUAAGCUGGUGUCAGGCUCCUUGAGAAGGCACUUAUGUUCUUGAAGGAUUAUUGUGCUAAUUUAGCUUUCAUUUCAUCAGGUAUCAAGGCUUGAUUUUAUCCUGCUGUUUGUUGCUCUGUCCUUACUGGGAAUUACUGACACCAGAGAUGUUGGGGAUUACACUGAAGAUGACUGAGGUGCAGCAGGGAAAUGGUUUUUGAUUUCUACUUGCUUUGCUGUCCUAAAGAUCCUACAAGAUCCUAAAGAUCCUACAAGAUCCUAAAGAGUGUGGUUAUGGCUGAAUCACUCAGCAGUGCUGGUUAAGGCAGUCAAUCUGAGCAGCAGAGCCUGACAGAUUUUUUUGUCAGAAUCCUUUAGAGGAUGCAUGUAAUGAAUCUUUUAGUAACUUUAGUGGGCAGUUGUUUUCAGCCAGCUGAAAUAUUUCCUGUGCUAAGGAAGACAGACUUUCCACGUGAAAGUCAUGAUGUGCCCACAUCCCCUGGUGGGGGAUAUUAUUGCCUUAAAAGAACUCCAAAGAAUGAACUCAGUCCUGCUAAUGAUGGUACUUGUUACCAGUACACAAACAAAGGACACUGAAAAUUAAUUUUUAUAUAUUUUCCUUGUUUUUAGCCUGAAAUCCACUCUUACCCUCCCCCCCAGAAAAUGCUUUUGCUGCUUUGUUUCCAGACACACUUCAAAUGUAGAGUGUCCUGGAAUAUUUUAUCCUGAAAAAUAGAGAAAUGCAGUUCCUCUCAGGGACUUUGUUGGACUCAAACUACACGUGGUGCUUAAAGAAAUGGGAGAAAUGUUUUGGUUUGCUCCAUUACACUGCUACAACUCCUGAGUGUUUCCCAACAUCUCUGGUAUCCAAAUGGGCACUGGUAGCACCGGGAUGGUUUUUAGGUUUUUGUGCUGGGGUUGUGCUUUGCCCCUUUCCCAGAGCUGGGAAAUGCCCUCUGCAGAAGGUGGGAAACUUGAAUCCUUGGGAUUGAGUCCUGAGGCACAGGAUGCAGUGUUCCCUGUGCUUCCUGCACCAAAUGCCACGGGAGCAGGGAUGGUUUUCAUCUGGGUGUGAUGUGGGGCUGGCUCAGCUUGCAGGGGUGAAAGAUGAGUGUCACUUCCAGCACUGGCUCUGGGAGCACACAGGGGCUGCUCUGCCCAGGGAAGGACAAACCAGAGCUUUGCAGACAGGAAAAAAGCUGCUCAGGGGGGGAUUGGAUUUCUCCAAACAAAAUGUUAUCCAAAAAUAUUCCUGGGGUUCAGAUGAGCAGCCAAAUGCAAAUGGUUGCACUUUUUCUUCCGUAUAUGUUCUCAGGCUCUCUAGCAGCCCCAAUGAUAAUAUCCCAAUUUUUCCUCCAAAAAUGUGCACAAAAGACAUCUCAUUUGGUUACUAAUAAAUAAUACAGAAUUCAGUUAAAUCCUAGUGAAAAUACACCGUUUCUGUGAGGAAUAUUGCUCAGACUGAACGUGGGACUUGAAAUAAUUUCCAAAUUUUAACUCCAUUUGUGUGUAAGGAAAACAUUUGCAGUACUUGGUGAAAGCUGUUGCAACCUGAGACAGUAUUUGUUCUUGGAACCUAUAUUUAAAAAGUUCUUGUGCAGUUCAAGGAGACCAAUAGUUUUCUGAGCAAGAGCUUUUCACAUUUUGGAGGACUAUAAAGAUAAAAAUGGAAAUGCUUAAUGCUGUGUUUUUAAAUUUUGACUGAGAAGCAACUCCUGUUUCAUUCUGUUGCGUGGAUUUUUUGGCUUUUAUUACUUUUCUCAUCACUGCAUAGAGUUCUGAAAUGAGUUAUUUUUGUAUAUGUAGAGAAAGGAUUUUAUAACCUUCAGGAUUUUUCCAUUUUGCCUGAAUUUAUCAAACAUUUGUUCAGAUGAAGUGAAAGGAGAGGCAGCUUCAAGUGUCUCUUUCCUGUUGCACAGAGCUUGAUCCUUUCUGAGUUCUGCAGAAUUUCCCAGUUUGAGCCAAACUAGGAAACAUUUUAGAUACUUUGUGCUCAUUCAUCUUUGAUGUUUGGGAUUUGGGACUUUGGUGGUUUAUUUUGGCCAUCAGCCCGGGUGAAAAUGUGCUGGAAAAGGGGUGCACCUGGCAGGGGAGGGUCUGGCAGCCCUUUCCUGUCCUGCACCAACACUUUCUGCCCUGGGUCAGUUUUAAUCCAAGUUAUUUCUGGGGUUUCCAGCUCAUUUCUGGAUCCUGGCAUGUCUGAAGAUGCAGGAGGAUCACCUCUGGACAGCACAAGCACUAAAUACUUCAAAAUUCACUUGUAGUGCCUGCUUGCCAGGGUGGAUUUUUUGGGUUUUUUGUUAUUUUCUUGUGUUUUAAUGACGAACUUGCCCUCUGUGGGACCAAGCUGGUGGAGCUUUGGAGGGAAAACGUCGUUCAGUGAACUUUGGGAUUUGCUGUGUCUUUGCUAAGGGGCUGGUUCAGAAAUGCUGGUAAUGAAUUGUUAGAGAGUCCAUGAUAAAUGCUCCAUCACAUACUUUGCAUGCAUUUUAUUUUUAAAAAAAAUCAGUUCAAAUGCAUUUUUUGUACAGAUGGAGCGGUUGGAGGUUUACCUGAAGCCCCUGAUGUGGUGUUAGAGAUGUGCUGUAGCUCAGCCCUUACAGGCACAUGAUGAACAGCAGAGAAACACAAGCCAUGGAGUCCUGCAGCAGUGCCAGCUCCUCAGUUGGUUUGUGUUUAUAAGCAGAUGCUUCUUCUUUAAUCUGGGGAGAGAUUGGAGCAUUCUCCACAGAGGGGCUGAUUUACCAAGAGAUGCAAUCAAUUUGUUUCCAAGCACAGACAUGUCUGGGAUAAUACAACACAGGCACACCAAUAACAAUGCUGUUUUUAAUGCUUUCUUCUUAUUUUUCAUUUUUUACUGACUAGGGUUAUUAAAAAAAAAAAUCAUCUGUACCACUUUAAUUUUCAGGGGAGAAGGUACUGGGGAGCAGGAUUACAGAUGUUCACAUGCCCAGACCUUGUAGGGGUAU